AUAACCGGAGUAGCCCUUUAAACACCCGUAACCGUAAUUUAAAUAACCAUAAUGGUUUUCUUUUUGUCGUUGUGCAGUCAUGAAGUUGGCGUUAAUAGUGGCCAUAUUUCCGAUAGUCUUGAAUGCAGCAUUAGUGGCGCGUGUACCUCGACCAUGGCCUCGACAACUAUAGUUGAGUGGUUUUAAAGAUUUAAGUUGACAAAGUUUGCUUUUCGGUAAAUCAUUUCCUAAUGGGAAAGCUACUGUUAAUCCCGUUGGUAAUAUCAUCGCUGUUGGGAUUUCUUUUUUCCGUUAAAGUAGGAAAAGUUAUGUUGUGUGUUGAAACAAUACAGGGCAAUGCCUCUCGCCUCCAGGAAACCGGCCAAAAAUCACCUGCCCAACUGUGUACAUGGCUCGGAAACACCCAAAUAAUGGCUCGGAAGGUUACAACAGUCGUUGGGGAAGGACUCGCCUCUAUCAGCACUGGUCUGAAGUAUCCUGGGCUACCAGUCUCCGUUGUGGCAGGAAAACUCUUCUCUGUUCAUUUUCACUACAUCUGAUUGAAUGAUGACGAGAUGUACAUCUUUGUUGUCAACCGUCCUCAGCAAAAAAGCCAAAUAGAGGUCUUUCGAUCUGUUGAGGACGAUCACUCCCUGGUGCAUCUGAACACAAUAAAGCAUGAACUUCCCUACAGGUGCAGUAUGGUGACAACACACUCUGUUAUAAAUAUAUAUAAAUGAUAUUGUUGCAGUGGGCGGGGAUAGCUUCUAUGCGACCAACACUCACUAUUUUACCCACAAGAUCCUUAAAGCUCUGGUGGAGCCUCUCCUGUCUCAGCCUUGGUCUAAUGUUGUGUACUACAGUCCCAAGGAUGUAAAAAUAGUCUCCAAAGGUUACUACAUGGCCAAUGGCAUCAAUAUGUCUCCAGAUAAAAGACAUAUACUGUAUAUGUGGCAGAUCUGUUUGAACACAAUGUGCAUGUGUAGCAUAAAGAAGACAAUACAUUUGGCCCCUGUGAAGGUAAAUAUUAUAACUAUAAUUAUAAUUAAACAUAAUUAUAGUAAUGUUUUUAUAGUAUCAGUGUAAGAAUUAUUUCUCCAUUAAUGAAACAAAAAUUGUUCAUGAUACAAAGAUUAAAGAUAUUACUCUUUAGGAGUUUUUCUCUAUUUUUAAGUGAAUUCAUGUGGACCCUUUGGAAUUU